UGUAAGCGUAUACCAAAGUUGUUGCAGUUAAAACGCUCGUAGUCGGAAUUUGGCAGUUCCGGAUGUGUGCACGUCGUGUGCGCACUUCGCGGGGAUUGCUUUUGUGGUCUUGCGUAGGAUGAGGCACUUUUAUUAGUGAACGUCCUCACGCAACCACGUUUUACUGUGAGAAAAUCAGAGUGCUCAAAGCAGGCAUUUGCCGUGAAUGUAUUAGCAUGGAAUAAUAGAAUAGGACUUGGUUCUAUUUUGUUGGUUUGUUGGGACUGAGUAAUGAUUAAGAGGGACAGUUGGGGGCAUUUGUAUUUCGGUGCUAGAGGUGAAAUUCUUAGAUUACCGAAAGACAAACUGCUGCGAAAGCGUCUGCCAAGGAUGUUUUCAUUGA
rnacentral:rRNA from 1 species